UGGUAUAUCUUGAUUACAGCAAGAGCAGUAUACGUGUUUGUCACGUACCUCCAAAAACGGAAAAUUGCCACAAUAUUCGAGUACAGAUGACAUUUUAGAGCGUUUUCUUAUACAUUAGUAAAUAUACAUUUUAGCUAAAUAUAAUCGUGAAGAUACAAUAGCUAAACAAUAACGAAGUCAAUUUAUUGUACAGUCAGCGUCAAAUACUUUGUAGCAACCAAAGUAGCCAAAUAGUUCGGUACACCAUAUAUUUAGUAUGGUGUACCGAACUAUUUGGCCACUUUGACUGCUACAAAGUAUUUGACGCUGACUGUACCUA